rnacentral:lncRNA from 1 species
UAAAUUCGUAAGAUUUUCGUGGGGGAAAAAUGGACUCAACAAAAACAUAUUUCAUUUUUUUGUCGGAUCGUUGGCGCUAACCAUUAAUCCCAAAAACUCGACUACUGGAGUUGUUAGAAAUACGGAACCAAUUCACUUAAAGUGUACAGAUACAGCGCCCACGGCUAUCAAUUGUGACUCGGCCCACCCGGUCUCACGCCACUUCGAACAUGACUCGGCCCAUCCAGCCUCACGCCAUUUCGAAUAUGACUCGACCCAACAUGAUCUCUCGUUACAGAGCAGGAUGCUAGCCCAUUAAUUAAGCCAACACUCUUCACUGGACAGAUAUCAUAAU